UCGCGUUCUCAUGUCUGAACAGAUACAUGGAGGAUGGAUCGUCACGGAUGCUGAGCCUUGCUGGUCCGUGUGUUCCGCUGGUCUGACCAACGUCGUCAGGUAUAGGGACGCCAUAAAUGCAGGCAAUUGCUUCCUAGCUGCCACGGCCAUCCGCACUCUAGAAAAUCCCCCAUUCGGUUUCGCUCUCUGCUGCAAACCCUAGUCUACCUGAGCCACCAUGUCUGCCUCGUCGUCCUCCUCUCUCCCUGUGCCAGCCGAUUUCCCUCUUGAUCUCAUCAGGUGUCCCUUCUGCGGCGCGGAUCUGGAAACCAAUGUAGCAAGAACCGGGAGCAAGGCGGGGUAGCGGUUCUACAAGUGUGUCCGCUAUGAUGCUCACGAGUGUUGGUUCUUUGAAUUUCAGACGGCCUACGUCAGAAGGAUGACUCCGUACCAGAUCGCCCGUGCUCAGCAGCAAGCGGGGGUGCUCCAGGUCCAGAUGCAGGCAAACCCGGCCGGCAUCGUCGCUCCACCUGCAAACCAGGAUCAGGUCCAGGCGAACCAGGGUCAGAAUCACCCUCUAGCGACGCCGGAGACCGUUUUGGUGAACCAGAUCUUCAGGCCCGUCGCAGCUGCUGCUUCUGGUUCUCAGGCGCUGGGGGCAACAGCUUUCAUCCUUGCCGCUAGCAACAUCAUGCUCACUCUACUGUUUCUGUUGUUCGUUGUGGCCAUCUAUUUUGGCGGCGGUAACUAGUUCGUUCUUAGUACGACAUACGUUGACAUUUCGGGAAGGGUUCUUAGCAAAAGUGUGUGUGUGAUGCUCGACUGCGGAUUUGGUUGUUCCUAGUUUGCCUUAGGCAAUAUGAUUAGGGAAUUAAUGGUGUUCAAGGGUGGCUCCCUUUACCUCUAAGUCUGUUUACCAGAACAUGUAAUUCGUACUCUAAUGUAACGCACUAUCUGGAACUAAUGAAGCUUUGCUGUGUUAGUUAAUCAGUUAUCAAUUCCAUUUAGUAUACAGUGCAUUUUUUAUUUUGGUUGUUUGUUCUUUAUUUUUAACGUACUCAACUCCAUUAUACAGCCCAACAGAUGGACCUCACUCGUCAUCUCCAUCGUUUGGUACCUCCUCUCCGAAAGGAACACGCGUCUCGAUCGUUCUGAAGUCACCGAGCUGCACAACAUACUGUGGAGGUUGCGCACGCUGUAUUCAUUGCAUACCUGCAUCCAUCUACCCUAUCUACCCACCCACAUCGCCUUUCCUUACACACCACUCAUUUCAUCCCCUACGCCCACCCAACUCUGGUCGCCCUCAUUGCCUCUAGAGUUCCUUGUUCGUCGUCCCAACUUGGCGGAAAGGAUCUCUCCUACAGUUGUUUUAUGCAUCAAGAUCUUCAGCUCUUAGCGAAUAGAUGAACAAUAUUCAAAUUCUGAUAGCUGCGGGGCGGACGCAGAUGGAUCUGAAAGUGCGAACGCACCGGCCGGUCAGCAAGGUCUGCACGCUGCCCUGGAUGAAUCUUCUUCCAACGCCAGGAGUGGAGACCCCCCGCCCCAACUUCAUGCAUCUCUCUAAAGCACGCUCUCAGUGUCAUCAAGACUUUCAGCGACUACAAGAAAUGGCUUGUGGAAGAGAUUGGUUUUGGAGGUAUGCUCAAGCUCCCCGACAUUCAAAAGUUAAAUCUCAGAUGCAGUGCCUGGAUUAUGAGUAGGGUUAGUGUUAGUGGUAGAGAGUUAAGGCUGUCAGAAAGUAAGGUGCUCAAGUUCUAUGCUGAGGAUGUCUUUAAGGUCUUUGGCAUCCCUUGCGAGAACCGUAGCAUGAAAGGGAGAGAUGCAAAUAUCAAUCCAGAAGCAAUCCACUUCAUCAAGUCAACCCUUGAAAUGAAUAAGACAGGAGUGCAUAGCUUGUGCGCGGCAGAACAAUUCCUGAUGCAUGAUAUUAAUGAGAAUUCUAGCAAGCUCGAGAAAGAUUAUUUUCAAAUUGCAUUUGUCAUAUUUGUCAUGGGGCAUGUACUCGCUCCGACCACGAAGCACAACUACUCGACCAUUGAUUUCUGGGGGGCAAUUGCCAACACUGAAAUGAUACAACAGUUCAAAUGGUGUGAGUAUGUCCUCCAGUAUUUGCUCGACACAGUACGAAAACUCAAGAGAGAUAUGAUGAUGAACAAUCAUUCAACUAACCUCGCCGGAUGUCAUUUCUUCUUUCAGGUUUUUCUGCUCGACAAUCUUGAUCUUGGUAUAUUGAAUAAGCCACACAAUGUACUACCAAGGAUCAUUGACUUCGACCCGGAUACACUAAACAAAAUGCUCAUCAUGGCUCUUGACCCAGUAAAGGGAUCUAUGUCAUAUUCCCAUGCAAACCUCCGAGACCCGGCGAAUGUUUGUUAUGUGUGACACAAGGUUCAGUACACAAUUCCGUCGUCUUCCACCACCAAGCAAUUGCCAAGGGCUGGGACCACUCCACGCUCUGCAAAAACUCCCACAACAGAAUCUCCUUGUCCUGGUACUGGUUGCCGUCAGGAGAACUUUGCGACUCCAAACACAAUGCCACGUGUAGUAGGGCCUUUGGACCUUGCCAACUUCUUGCGACAGCAGUACCCACACCUCGUGACUGAUGAGAUAACCAUGAUCAUGAAACAGCAGAAUGCCAACUCAAUUAGGCGUUUGACAGAAGCAUCCAACGCCAUCCAAGUGGUUCUAUCGCAGGCAAAAAAUGCAUUGCAGUCAGAUAUGCUCAACUAUUCAGAGAAAAUUCUGAAAUCAAUUUCAGGUCGGCGCCUUUGCUGUCGUACGCGAGGGUUCACAGAGUGUCAUGCAUCAGGUGCCGCUACUGCCAAGAAUGUAUGUUUCAGCACUCCUGUUGGGCAAAGAAUCCAGGGGCACAUGCUUGAUUUGUCUGAUGGAGAAGCUAUGUCACCGCUUAACCAGGGUGGAUCAUCAAGGAAACGAAACGCAAGCAAUGAGGACUCUGCAUCCGCAAGAAAAAAAUUGAUUUCAGAAUCAUCCAUUGUGAUUAACUACUUCAAAGACACCAUUCGCGAAGUUGCACAAAUGUAUGCUGAUCUCCCAGCGAAAACAACCAUUGCGUGUUUGGCCAAACCCAGGGUAAACUUCCAAAGAGGAAGUACAUUUUUCAGCAUGGUUAUGCAACAAAUCCAUGGGAGCGUGGAGUUUUACCACUACCACCGCACGCUGAAACCACAUAUAUGAUAGUUGCAUACUUCUCCAACUUAACUGAGAGUGAUCUUAAGAGGCAUUAUGUUAUCCACCACUCCCCCAGACUUGUCAGUGUUACAGGGAUCGCUAUGUUUCAUCAGCUCAUUGGCAGUCGGAGUCUCGAUCACGAACUUGCUUCCAUUAUAUGUAGAAGGUACACUCAGUAAGAUAUGGAAGCCAAUAGGUAAUGUCCGUACCUCAACUGGAGGCACAACAUGGAAACGGAGUUUGCGACAAUUGUGCUGUAUGACCACGACUAUGUGAACAACAUUUCGAUUCAGAAGCAACUAGUCGGCAAGGACAUGCCUUACGAUAUAACCUCAUCUCAGAUGUUCUUCCUGCCAGUACCCCUCGAAGCUGGAUGGGUUUUAUUGAUGUGGGACAUGAUGUCGAGGAAGAUUCAUUUUUUGGACCCGAAGAUCAGAUGGAAUGGCCCUGAUGAUUUCACAAAAGAUAAGCAUGAACUUAUUGCAUGGAAGCUUCACCAUGCGUUAUUCCUGUGCCAGAAUGAGUAUUAUGCUGGAUGGCCAACCCAGGAUGGUCAUUGGGGAACGGUUUACCCAGUAGUAGCCGAAGAAACAUUCCUCAGAGAUAACUCGCUCAUAGAUGCUUACAUGGAUUAACCAAUAAGCCGCCCGCCUCUCCAACGAUUGGAUUCCACACCUCAUCUAUGCCAUCCAGGUAGUCCUCCGGUUUUGUAUGCCCAGCCCAGAAGCAUCAUGUCAGCAAAACAACUUAUAUAUAUUGGACACGCGAAAGAACAAAUGAUACUUCAUUCAUACCCUGAAUUGUGUAGGGUAUUCUCUCAGCAAGUAGAUCAGCUUCUUGAUCUUAUCUUCAGUGUACUCGCUGACUCUAGGGAGUUUAUUUGGUUCCACAUUGUCUGCCCCAAAAUCCAGCCAAUCGAACACCCAAGGAUGUGCGAUGUCCAUGUAAUCAUUGGCAAGUUAGUGACAACAAUUGAGGAAACUAAAAUGUUAUAAUAUAUGUUGUAUCAUUUUUUACUUA